rnacentral:lncRNA from 1 species
UUUUCUCUCGUAUCGUAUGAUAAUUGGGAAUGCACAUUCUGGUUUGAAAUUUGAGUAUCCCAUCAUCUUUCACCCCAAUGUCUCUCACUGUCCCCUGUUCUACCCCCUUCCGAAUCCUCUGCACCUCGGUGUCUACUAACUGCCCCUCUCUGAUUUUAUGAACCAAGGUAGGUUGUGCCCUCAAACUAGCCAUAUACCUUCUAUUGUCCCCUUCCUGAAUACAUAAUUAUUGCAUGGCUUCCCAUAAACACCACUCAAAUACCAUCAAAUGAGCUAGCCCCUCAGUAC